UGGGGAACCAGUUGUGAAAUGGAUCAGCAAUGAGUACAGCUUGCCUUGUUGUUAUCAUCUUUAAAGUAGAGGUCCAGGAUGGUUAGCAUGAUUAGAUGCACUCUUAGGCUUGGACAGCUAAGCUUAUUUUUUCUCAAAUUUUUUUUUUCUCAAGUUACUGAACUCUUUUUAAUGUCCAACUUUGAGGUCCAAAUAUAAAUUAAUCCUCAUUUUAAAUCCCAUUUCUUUAUAUCAGUAUGGAGCCAUGUGUGUCCAGUAGCCCUAAUAUAUGUUCAUUUAUUCAAUCAGCGAACACUUGUUGAACAACUAUUCCAUGCAGAGUCCUGGUUUGGGUGAAGAAAACAGAUGCAUAAAACAUUAUUCCUUGAGUUUCCGUUGUGGCUCAGUGGUUAACGAAUCCAACUAGGAACCUGAGGUUGCGGGUUUGAUCCCUGGCCUCUCUCAGUGGGUUAACGAUCUGGCGUUGCUGUGAGGUGUGGUGUAGGUCGCAGAUGCAGCUCAGAUCCCAUGUUGCUGUGGCUGUGACGUAGGCCAGCAGCUACAGCUCUGAUUUGGCCCCUAGCCUUGGAACCUCCAUGUGCUAUAGGUGUGGCCCUGAAAAAAAAAAUUCCUGCUCCUGUGAGUUUAUAGUUUGGUAACAAGAGACUAUGGCAUACAUGCAGAAAGAGUGAAGUAAAUAUGAAAGUUACAGUAGUGGCACAAGCAACCCGCUGUGGGAAUACACAGAAAGAUUGACUCAGAGAUGGUGGAAGGUACUAAGAACUUAAGGGAUUUCCCAAAGAGUGGAGUUUCCUGGGCCUGGUAACCAUGUAUAUGAUUUCACCAGGUGUGAAUGUAAUAAGAACACAAAGAGUUGAGAGGUAAGAUGGCUGGAGAGGAGGCUUGCUUUGGAUCUAGUGAGAGGUUGGCUUGGAUGAGUGGGAUUGAAGCAGCGUUAUAAAUACCAGGCAAAGCAAAUGCCUGGGCCCAGCUAUGGAAAGAAGCAGCUGCACAGCCACCUAUUUUUACAGAGCUUUUUUCUCAGCGAGGUUGCCAGAGGGAAGGUCCCGCCUGGAGUGUCUCAGGACACUGCCUCCCUCUGGAACUUGCCCAAAUUCACAUUGCAAAAGGGUGAUUUCUGCAUUAUGUAGAAUCCAAGCUUCUCUUGCUGAAUUUUACAUCUUCACCUCCUCUUCCCUUAUACUUGGGAGAGGUGAAAGACUGCAAAUCUCUCUUCUGCAAGGAAUGUUCCUUAUGUUCCUAAAGAUGGAGCUGUGCCAAUCUAUCUUAAGACCAAAUACCAUGAAGAUGUCCAGGAAUGUCCUGGGACCCACAGAAGACAAUCAGAAGGGACUAUGGAUAGAGCAUGGCAACUGUCAUGGCCAGUCUUGUGAUUGGCUAACAUUGAGGGGUUCACUCAUUCACCAUGUGCCCCCAGAUCAGUGACAAGCAACAGUGUAUGUAAUGCAGUGGUUCCCAAGCAGGGCAUUGCCACUACCCAACCGGGGCAUUUAGUUAGAGAGGCAUUUAGUGAGAGGGGACUAAAGAUGUGAAAUAUCCUGCCAGGUGUUACCCAGUCCCUGAGAUCAAAAAGUUGUUUUAUCUCAUCUAAGAUUUUUGAAUUUAUUACCUGACCUUGAGAAUGGUAGACAGCUAUUAUUAAAAUAAGAUCAUUUAUCAAUCUUAUUAAUCCAAGGCACAACCUACAUCUGCUGUGUUCUUGGGAUAAAUAGUUCUGCAUGGUGUUCCAGGCUGAAGGGCUUAGAUGACAUGAAGGCUUUCUGCACAGGAAGCCUCAGACUGAUGACCACCAGUCCUUUGGAGGCACAACAGGCUGACAGUUGGCUGAACGGAGCCAGUGUUCUCUGCUGAUGUUACAGGAGAUGACAGGGAUAAUGGUGCAGUGACUCCUGAUUGGCCAGCAUGGCUCAGUGUAAGGCCUGGGAUUUACGCUGACAACACAUCCAUCAGCUGUGGCGGGUGUGGGGCAUUUGAAAUGCACCUUCGGGAACUGAUAAUGACCUAACAGAUGACUCCAUCUUAUUGAUCAACAUGGGUACUCCCGAAACACGUGGCCCCUGAUAUCCCUGACACCUGCCUUGAUGAGAUUUACGCUCCUGAGUGGAGAAGGGGCCAGAAAUCAUGUGCCUUUGGAAAUGAUGUAACUGACUGUAGAUCAGCCUUUGGCCCUUCAACAGUUACAAACAGCAAGAGAUUAUCUGAGGCGGCAGAGCUUAGCGGAAUGCCUACUCCACUCGGACCGGCUGGAGUCUUCAUCAGCAGAUGGCUCAUGUGGUUGACAACUAACUUGGUAUGUGAAUCAGUCUAAGUUGUCAUAGACCAUUAUAGAGUAUGGUGAGGUGGUGUGGUAUAAACCCAUGUGUUUAUCAUCUUUCCAUGUCUCUUAGCACCUAGCAAGUGCCUUGCAAAAUAAGUGAGCUGAGGAGAUACCUCACCAAAGACUGUAUGUUUAAGUACUUGAAGGAUGGAUGGGAUUGUCAGUAAAAGCACUUGUGAGUUUUUGAGUGGAGGGAUCAAAAAUAUAUCCACUAUAUCUCAAAUAUGCAAAGGAUGCAGCACAACGUAUUCUAUAACUGCCCUUGUCAUGCUCAUCUCCGGGGCAGAGUGGGGGGAGAGUACUGUAUACUUGCUACUUAAAGAGACGUGAUAAGAUUAAAAUGCCGGAGAGCCACCACCAUGGAGAAUUUCCCUUUGCUGUUGACAUGUGAGCCCACUGUUCAUAUUUGAGAAGAGGGAACAGGCAAAUACUGCAAUGGAGGUUUGCGUCUUUUCCACUUUCUCAUAAUCUAGUUGCCCUCCUGCAUGGAGUCAUAGUUCUCAAUCCAUCAUCGUUAAUUUUAUCAUAAACUUCAGGAGGAAGAGGGGAUACAAUGUCUCUUUCCCCUGAGUGAAACCUCUAGGAGUGGCCACUUCUGACUUCCUUUUUUCUGCUUUUUAGGGCCAUACCUGUAACAUAUGGAAGUUCCCAGGCUAGGGGUCAAAUCAGAGCUACAGCUCUCGGCCUACAUCACAGCCACAGCAAUGCUGGAUCCAAGCCACAUCUGCGACCUCCACCACAGCUCAUGGCAAUGCCAGAUCCUUAACCCACUGAGCAAGGCCAGGGAUCAAACUUGCAUCCUCAUGGAUUCUAGUCAGCUUCAUUAAUUGCUGAGCCACAAGGAACUCCCUGUCUGACUUCUAAGUGGGUUUUAGUUGCUGGGCUUCUCUCUCAGAGGCAGGAUUUGCUGUGGGUAAUAACCGUGUUCUUGAUGCUUACUGCAGAGUAUAUUUCUUUUUUUUUUUUUAAAGGCAAUAAAUCCCUAUUAGUAGUGUUUCUUUUCAAAAAGCACCUGGCUUAUUUUCUUAAUCAAUAGUUUAUGUUCAAUAAUGUUAGGCUUUGCAGAAAGAUUAACUCACUUGGAUGCUGUUAGGUCCACAUGGAGAAUAAAACUUUGACUUAUGAUCCUCUACUAAUUUUUUUCUGAUACAAAACAACAAAAAAACAGGAUAGUUUAAGUACAAAAUUUAUUGAAGUAAAGAAAUUAAAACAAUUUUCUCAUGUAAACCACAAUUUGUCUCACAUGACUACCAGGAGUUGGAAAAACCAUCUAUUACAAAUUCAAACUCUGGAUGAAAGCCCAGUGAUGGAGCUUGUUCACGUCAGUGAAUGCACUCAGAUCCCAAGAAAAUGUCAAGAUGACCAUCUCAGCAGAGGUAUAGAAAGAGAUGACAAGAGAGAGAUAAUAAAUUGCCUUGCAAAUAAAUGAAGACCUUCCUGUUGGACAAUCAUGAGUGACUUUCCUAUCCAGUUAUGCUCUUGAUGUCCAAGAUUCAAAUCACAGAUGCCCCAAAUCUGCCUUUGUGUAAAAGAACCAGGAUUUCCGUUUUUGGCUUCCUGUGUAUUCAUCAGGGUAGGCUUAAUCUGAGCACUCUGCAGUAAUAGGGAAGAGAGGCCACAGGGGCCCCCAUCCCAUCUCCCCAAGCCUUAACCUUUUCGAAAGUUCUUUGUCCUUCCCAGGACUGCCCCCAAGGCCUUCCUGUGCCCUUUCACCAUAGGCUGUGUGUUAUCUUUAGGAACCAUCUUUCAUCAAGAGGAUAAGAAUCAGAUGAAAGGAAACUUCAUCAGGAGGUGGGGGCCAAGCUCCAAGGCUGAAAACGUGGAGGGCUUAUGUACAUUUGGAGAGAGAAGCCAGCUUAUUAACCUUAAAGCAAACUUUGCUGCCCCUCCAAGGACUCUAAGAUAAUGCUGCAAUCCUGGUGCUCCAGUUCCCACUCCCUGAGGAGGGAGUCAGGUCCAAACAGCUCCCUGGGAGGAGGGAUGUAAGACAGGAUUAGCACAACCUUGCACAAAGCAGUGAAGUAAAUGUGUCUUUCUUUCCAUGGCCCUCUGUGGACCCUUCUUCUCCCUCCUGGGAAUAACUAUAUGUUGCUGGAAGAGUUUCUUCUCAAAGUCCCAAUUUAUGCAUCUGUAAAAUGGGAAUAACCAUAGCACUUACCUCUGAAGACUGUAAGGAGGGCUAAAUAGAAAGCAUAGAAAGUUCACAGCACAGAGCCUGCCAUGUGAAAGGCAUUCCAUAGUUGUUAGAUGUUAAUCCCAGCAUAAAUUCCUCACUUGAUAGGGGAGAGAACUGAGGCCCAGAGAGAUGAAGAUUCUUGCUCAAGCUUUAAAGCAUCAGGCUGCAUCUCCUCCCACCACUCUGCCAUCUGAUUUGUCUUCUUGGAUUAAAACAUAAAAAUUAGGAGUUCCCACCAUGGCGCAGCGGAAACAAAUCCAACUAGGAACUAUAGAGUUGUGGGUUCGAUCCAAGGUCUCACUCAGUGGAUUAAGGAUCCGGCGUUGCCUUGAGCUGUGGUGUAGCUUGCAGAUGUGGCUUGGAUCCUGCGUUGCUGUGGCUGUGGUGUAGGCUGGCGGCUGUAUCUCCAAUUAGACCCCUAGCCUGGGAAACUCCACAUG
rnacentral:lncRNA from 1 species